UACGAAGGGGGCUAGCGUUGCUCGGAAUCACUGGGCGUAAAGGGUGCGUAGGCGGUCGGGUAAGUCUGAUGUGAAAUCUCACAGCUUAACUGUGAAACUGCAUUGGAUACUAUCCGGCUCGAGGAAUGGAGGGGAGACUGGAAUACUUGGUGUAGCAGUGAAAUGCGUAGAUAUCAAGUGGAACACCAGUGGCGAAGGCGAGUCUCUGGACAUUUCCUGACGCUGAGGCACGAAAGCCAGGGGAGCGAACGGG
rnacentral:rRNA from 1 species